rnacentral:rRNA from 1 species
GUCGAGAAUCUUCCGCAAUGCGCGAAAGCGUGACGGAGCGACACCGCGUGAUGGAUGAAGUCCUUCGGGGCGUAAACAUCUUUUAUAAAGGAGGAAAUUUUUGACGUUACUUUAUGAAUAAGGGGCUCCCAAUCUCGUGCCAGCAGGAGCGGUAAUACGAGAGCCUCAAGCGUUAUCCGGAAUCAUUGGGCGUAAAGGGUGCGUAGGUGGUUUGAUUAGUCUCCCGUUAAAACUUCGAGCUUAACUCGAAAAGAGCGGGGGAAACGGUCAAACUAGAGUAUGUGAGAGGUGUGUGGAACUCAUGGUGUAGGGGUGAAAGCCGUUGAUAUCAUGGGGAACACCAAAAGCGAAGGCAGCACACUGGCACAUCACUGACACUGAGGCACGAAACCUAAGGUAGCGAAUGGGAUUAGAUACCCCGGUAGUCC